UAUAUUACGACAACACGAUACACUACAGA
rnacentral:sRNA from 1 species